CACCGCAGUCGCAUACGGUUGUUUCCAUAUGAACAAACUGUUUUUUUUAAGCGGAGUGCGGUGCUGAGAAAUUCGUAAAGCUCCUUUUUGAAACCUUGUAUUUUAUGUAACGGCCGUGCGGUGCAUCCAAUAUCCAAGCGGAAGGAGGUCCACACACUCCCCCGGCGCCGCCUGAGCGUGGUCGUCCUGCUCCGCACUUUAAGCACCGCCACCCCCACCAUCGCCCUCAACCCGUGAAACAUUACGCGAAAAUCGAUUUCGAUUGCAGGCGCAGGAAGAAACAGCAGAAAGUAUGUCUCACGGCGAUGUGGACCCAGAGUUAGAGAUGACAUCGCCCCACUGGAUGCAUAGGGAAGCUGAAAGUUGCCCAAGGAUGCACACAAUCUGGAGGCUAGAGCGCUGGCGGAGCAGCAUGCUUCUCCUAGUCGGACUGGCCUUGUGCGUCCUUCGGGCCCCUGGAUGCAGUGCCACGGACACGGACAUUGCGCUGGACGCCAAGGCCACGCUCAAUCACCGGAUCCAGAGCCUGGAUCUGCUGGUCUUCGUGUUCCUACUGGCACUCACAGUGCUCACUAUUUGGCUGUUCAAACAUCAUCGCGUCUCCUGGCUCCACGAGACCGGAUUGGCCGUCAUCUACGGCCUGAUUGUGGGAGCAAUUAUACGGUAUGCCGGCACCUCCGCCACUUUGGUUCACAUGCAGGUGGAGCCUCAAGGAGUUCCAACGUACAGCGAUAAAUUGCCGCCUGAUACACUUUGGUUUAGGUACCCUGUUAACCAAACAAAUAGCACAAAGCUACCCGAGGGAAUUAAGACAUAUGCCUACGUGUUUCGCGGACAGGUACACGAUGUGGAUGAAAAUGAAAUCGAUCUUAAGGCUACGUUCGAUCCGGAGGUCUUUUUCAAUAUCAUCCUGCCCCCAAUUAUCUUUUAUGCUGGCUAUAGUUUGAAAAAGAAAUACUUCUUUCGCAAUCUGGGUGCCAUACUUACGUUUGCCAUUGUGGGCACGACAUUGUCGGCCUUCCUGAUCGGAGGCUUCAUGUACGGCUGUGUGAAACUGAUGCCAAAUUACUUGAGUAGCAGUUUCUCAUUCCUGGACACCUUAUACUUUGGAGCCCUGAUAUCGCCCACAGAUCCGCUCACCAUUUUAGCCAUAUUUAACGAUCUUCGGGUCGACGUAAACCUAUAUGCGCUAGUCUUGGGCGAAUCUGUGCUCAACGAUGCCGUGGCCAUUGUCCUCAGUGGAGCCAUUCAAAAUUAUGGUGAACACUAUUCCGAUACUGGGGAAUUUGAAACUACAGCUUUUCUACGCUCGUUAAGCGACUUCUUCUCUAUCUUCUUACUAUCCCUAAUGAUUGGCGCGGCCAUGGGAUGCUUGACAGCAUUGAUGACCAAAUUUACUCGGGUUCGAGACUUUCCUUUACUAGAGUCCGCGCUCUUCGUGCUCAUGAGCUACAGCACCUUCCUGCUGGCUGAGGCAACAGAACUUACAGGAGUGGUGGCCGUGCUGUUCUGUGGCAUCUGCCAGGCUCACUACACGUACAAUAACUUAUCGGAGGAUUCCCGCCAAAGGACAAAACAGAUCUUCGAGCUCCUAAACUUUCUGGCAGAGAACUUUAUCUUUUCCUAUAUUGGCGUAUCAAUGUUCACCUUUCCCAAGCAUCAUUUUGACGCUGGGUUUAUUAUUACAGCUUUUAUUUGCGCUGCCAUAGGAAGGGCCGUGAAUGUGUAUCCCUUGUCGUGGCUGCUGAACAUAAGGCGCAAGCCGAAGAUUUCAUCAAACUUUCAGCAUAUGCUGUUCUUUGCUGGACUUCGUGGCGCCAUGUCCUUUGCCUUGGCCAUCCGAAAUACAGUGUCGGAUGCACGACAGACAAUGCUGACUGCCACAUCGCUGAUUGUCAUCUUUACGGUUGUAAUUCAGGGUGGGGCUGCCAAUUUCCUGCUAAAUUGGUUGAAAAUACCUGUUGGCGUGGACGAUGAGACUGAACAACUAAAUAACUAUCAAGUACACAGUUCUGAUGGUUAUUUGCAGGAUGUGGAGGGCGGUGGGGUAGGUCGCGGAAAGGUGCGCUUGUCCGGUGGAACAGAUUCAAACUUGGACACGCCAGUGGACGGUCCGAAUGGCAGUUUGGGCGGAGCAAGCAGCGGUCGUCGUCGCAACAGUCACGAGAAGGCCAUUCUGGCAAGGAUCUGGGGAAACUUCGAUACCAAGUACAUGAAGCCCUUGCUGACGCACUCGCGACCCACUUUGCUGGAGACGCUGCCCGUUUGCUGCAACCCCAUUGCUAGGCUGCUUACCACCACGCAGCAGCUUACGCAGGAUGGUAGCGAGUUCAGGCGCGUGGACUCGGACUCGGAUAUUUGCAUAGACAAUGAUACCGGGAACGGUCUUAGCCAGGAUGCAACCGGAGCGGUUCCGGGUUCGGGUGUGGGCGUGGGCGUGGGGCGGCGGAACUCCCUGAGUCGCGUAAGUAUCAAGUACACCGCCGAUAAUCACCAUCUACUUGCUAGUUACCGAAAUAUUGAAUAACCGAAUGAGCGAAGCACCCCAGACACCAAAGACUAAUCUAAGCGUAGCAAGCUGGCCACUAACAAAGUAACGAAAAACCUCAGAUAAACCAAAAUCCGAAUGAAUCUACACCAUAGAGACUUCGGCAAAGUAGACAUACAGACAUAUUGUUAUAUGAAUUGGCCGUGAAAAUGUGAUUUUUGUUUAGCGUUAUUUUGCUUUUGUAUAAUUUUAAUGUUAAAUUUGUGGUGUAAGCGGAAGAAGAUACAGUAAUUUACACCUCUCAAUAUGGUUGACUAAUUGUUUAAGUUUGUGCGACGGCAAGCGAUUUCCAGUAUAUUUAACACCUAUGUAAUAUUAUUUUGACUGUUAACUACUACUAAAUGCAUGCUUACCAAAUAUAACCAAAAUGUAACUACUCUCUCGGCGAUGAUCUAAUUUAUUUAUUGAUUUAUGCGGCAUCUUUCUUUCUUUCUGUCUUUCCUUCGACCAAUCAAUCAAUCGAUCAUCUAACAAACUCAUGCGGACUCUAUCAAUUUAACUUUGGUUGCUCUAACAACAAUAACAACAACUCCAACAACUAAUUACAAACUGCAUUCAUCCAAAAAAACAAUAAACUAUCUAUGUCAACCGGUCUCGUUUUAAUGCUAAACAUUGGUAAUGCCCAUACAAAAGUCUGUUCAAUUGAACGAAGCCCAUCACCUAGCAAAUGAAAUCAGCCUGGUUACUAAUAAUUUCAUGUAAUCGAAAGAUCGGGCCAUCUAUCUUUGUAUUUGAUUUAUUUGUUAUUUAUAUAUGCAUUUUUUUGUUCAAUUCUGUCUACUUUUCCUUGGUAAACCCACUGUUGAAACGAAGCACAGACGGAGACCCAGACAUGAUUAACUUAGAAACGAGUCAGUGAAAUUGAUAUCCGAUUAAUAACCAAAGCUUCUUAGAGCACAGCAGUCAGGAAUGUUCGUUUAUAUUGUUCACUUUUAAUUUCUGUAUUUUUCCUCAUAAUCUAAUUUCUUAGAUUCUAACACGCGACUAACCAUGUUGGAGGCGAUCAUCGAAAUGCUUACAUAUAAGUUCAAUUAGUGUUUACUUUUCUUUUGUUAUUUAUUGAAUUGGUCUCAUUUGAAAUCGAAAAUGUGAAAAAUGUACAAAUUAGAAUAUUACUUUUCAGUUUCUCCUUGUUUAUGAUAUGUGAUUCGGAACUCUAGUAAUCUAGUAAUAAACAUAAAUUUAAUAUCAA